rnacentral:rRNA from 1 species
GGCGGCGUGCUUAACACAUGCAAGUCGAACGGUAAGGCCCUUUCGGGGGUACACGAGUGGCGAACGGGUGAGUAACACGUGGGUGACCUGCCCUGUACUUUGGGAUAAGCCUGGGAAACUGGGUCUAAUACCGGAUAUGACCUUCUCCUGCAUGGGGGUUGGUGGAAACCUUUUGCGGUACAGGAUGGGCCCGCGGCCUAUCAGCUUGUUGGUGGGGUAAUGGCCUACCAAGGCGACGACGGGUAGCCGGCCUGAGAGGGCGACCGGCCACACUGGGACUGAGACACGGCCCAGACUCCUACGGGAGGCAGCAGUGGGGAAUAUUGCACAAUGGGCGCAAGCCUGAUGCAGCGACGCCGCGUGAGGGAUGACGGCCUUCGGGUUGUAAACCUCUUUCAGUAGGGACGAAGCGCAAGUGACGGUACCUACAGAAGAAGCACCGGCCAACUACGUGCCAGCAGCCGCGGUAAUACGUAGGGUGCAAGCGUUGUCCGGAAUUACUGGGCGUAAAGAGCUCGUAGGCGGUUUGUCACGUCGUCUGUGAAAACCCGAGGCUUAACCUCGGGCCUGCAGGCGAUACGGGCAGACUUGAGUACUGUAGGGGAGACUGGAAUUCCUGGUGUAGCGGUGGAAUGCGCAGAUAUCAGGAGGAACACCGGUGGCGAAGGCGGGUCUCUGGGCAGUAACUGACGCUGAGGAGCGAAAGCGUGGGUAGCGAACAGGAUUAGAUACCCUGGUAGUCCACGCCGUAAACGGUGGGUACUAGGUGUGGGUUUCCUUCCACGGGAUCCGUGCCGUAGCUAACGCAUUAAGUACCCCGCCUGGGGAGUACGGCCGC